AUUGAACGCUGGCGGCAGGCUUAACACAUGCAAGUCGAACGGUAACGACAGGAACAAUCCCUUCGGGGUGCGUCCCUGGGCGACGAGUGGCGAACGGGUGAGUAACGCGUAGGAAUCUACCCAACAGUGGGGGACAACCCGAGGAAACUCGGGCUAAUACCGCAUACGCCCCAAGGGGGAAAGGUGGGGAUCUCUUCGGAGACCUGCCGCUGAUGGAUGAGCCUGCGUCCGAUUAGCUUGUUGGUAGGGUAAUGGCCUACCAAGGCAACGAUCGGUAGCUGGUCUGAGAGGAUGAUCAGCCACACUGGGACUGAGACACGGCCCAGACUCCUACGGGAGGCAGCAGUGGGGAAUAUUGGACAAUGGGCGCAAGCCUGAUCCAGCCAUGCCGCGUGGGUGAAGAAGGCUUUCGGGUUGUAAAGCCCUUUCAGUGGGGAAGAAAAGCUUGGUGUUAAUAGCACCGAGUCUUGACGGUACCUACAGAAGAAGCACCGGCUAAUUCCGUG
rnacentral:rRNA from 1 species